GACGUAGGGCGCGAGCGUUGUCCGGAUUUAUUGGGCGUAAAGAGCUCGUAGGCGGCUCGUUGCGUCGGCUGUGAAAACCCGCAGCUCAACUGUGGGCUUGCAGCUGAUACGGGCGGGCUGGAGUUCGGUAGGGGAGACUGGAAUUCCUGGUGUAGCGGUGAAAUGCGCAGAUAUCAGGAGGAACACCGGUGGCGAAGGCGGGUCUCUGGGCCGAUACUGACGCUGAGGCGCGAAAGCUAGGGGAGCGAACGGG
rnacentral:rRNA from 1 species